GCGCAAUGGGCGAAAGCCUGACGCAGCAACGCCGCGUGGGGGAUGACGGCCUUCGGGUUGUAAACCUCUUUCGACAGGGACGAAGCUUUCGGGUGACGGUACCUGUAGAAGAAGCACCGGCUAACUACGUGCCAGCAGCCGCGGUAAUACGUAGGGUGCGAGCGUUGUCCGGAUUUAUUGGGCGUAAAGAGCUCGUAGGCGGUUUGUCGUGUCGGCCGUGAAAACCUGCAGCUUAACUGUGGGCGUGCGGUCGAUACGGGCAGACUUGAGUUCGGCAGGGGAGACUGGAAUUCCUGGUGUAGCGGUGAAAUGCGCAGAUAUCAGGAGGAACACCGGUGGCGAAGGCGGGUCUCUGGGCCGAUACUGACGCUGAGGAGCGAAAGCAUGGGGAGCGAACAGGAUUAGAUACCCUGGUAGUCCACGCCGUAAACGUUGGGCGCUAGGUGUGGGGACCAUUCCACGGUUUCUGUGCCGCAGCUAACGCAUUAAGCGCCCCGCCUGGGGAGUACGGCCGCAAGGCU
rnacentral:rRNA from 1 species